rnacentral:tRNA from 1 species
CGGACUGUCGUAUAGUGGUAGUAUGCGCGCUUCGGGUGCGCGCGGUCUGGGUUCGAUUCCCAGCAGUCCGA